rnacentral:rRNA from 1 species
ACUCUGAUCCAGCCAUGCCGCGUGCAGGAAGACGGCCCUAUGGGUUGUAAACUGCUUUUAUACGGGAAGAACCACAUCUACGUGUAGAUGCUUGACGGUACCGUAUGAAUAAGGACCGGCUAACUCCGUGCCAGCAGCCGCGGUAAUACGGAGGGUCCAAGCGUUAUCCGGAAUCAUUGGGUUUAAAGGGUCCGUAGGCGGAAUAAUAAGUCAGUGGUGAAAGUCUGCAGCUCAACUGUAGAAUUGCCAUUGAUACUGUUGUUCUUGAAUUAUUAUGAAGUGGUUGGAAUGAGUAGUGUAGCGGUGAAAUGCAUAGAUAUUACUCAGAACACCUAUUGCGAAGGCAGAUCACUAAUAAUAUAUUGACGCUGAGGGACGAAAGCGUAGGUAGCGAACAGGAUUAGAUACCCUGGUAGUCUACGCCGUAAACGAUGGUUACUAGCUGUCCGGCCUAAUUGAGGGCUGGGUGGUUAAGCGAAAGUGAUAAGUAACCCACCUGGGGAGUACGUUCGCAAGAAUGAAACUCAAAGGAAUUGACGGGGGCCCGCACAAGCGGUGGAGCAUGUGGUUUAAUUCGAUGAUACGCGAGGAACCUUACCAGGGCUUAAAUGCAGUCUGACAGGCGUGGAAACAUGCCCUUCUUCGGACAGAUUGCAAGGUGCUGCAUGGUUGUCGUCAGCUCGUGCCGUGAGGUGUCAGGUUAAGUCCUAUA